rnacentral:rRNA from 1 species
UGAGGUUAAGCGACUAAGCGUACACGGUGGAUGCCCUGGCAGUCAGAGGCGAUGAAGGACGUGCUAAUCUGCGAAAAGCGCCGGCGAGGUGAUAUGAACCCUUGACCCGGCGAUGUCCGAAUGGGGAAACCCAGUGCAAUCCGUUGCACUAUCGUUAACUGAAUACAUAGGUUAACGAGGCGAACCGGGGGAACUGAAACAUCUAAGUACCCCGAGGAAAAGAAAUCAACCGAGAUUCCCCCAGUAGCGGCGAGCGAACGGGGAGCAGCCCAGAGUCUGAAUCAGCUUGUGUGUUAGUGGAAGCGUCUGGAAAGUCGCACGGUACAGGGUGAAAGUCCCGUACACGAAAGCACACAGGCUGUGAACUCGAAGAGUAGGGCGGGACACGUGGUAUCCUGUCUGAAUAUGGGGGGACCAUCCUCCAAGGCUAAAUACUCCUGACUGACCGAUAGUGAACCAGUACCGUGAGGGAAAGGCGAAAAGAACCCCGGCGAGGGGAGUGAAAAAGAACCUGAAACCGUGUACGUACAAGCAGUGGGAGCACCUUCGUGGUGUGACUGCGUACCUUUUGUAUAAUGGGUCAGCGACUUAUAUUCUGUAGCAAGGUUAACCGUAUAGGGGAGCCGAAGGGAAACCGAGUCUUAACUGGGCGUUAAGUUGCAGGGUAUAGACCCGAAACCCGGUGAUCUAGCCAUGGGCAGGUUGAAGGUUGGGUAACACUAACUGGAGGACCGAACCGACUAAUGUUGAAAAAUUAGCGGAUGACCUGUGGCUGGGGGUGAAAGGCCAAUCAAACCGGGAGAUAGCUGGUUCUCCCCGAAAGCUAUUUAGGUAGCGCCUCGUGAACUCAUCUUCGGGGGUAGAGCACUGUUUCGGCUAGGGGGCCAUCCCGGCUUACCAACCCGAUGCAAACUACGAAUACCGAAGAAUGUUAUCACGGGAGACACACGGCGGGUGCUAACGUCCGUCGUGAAGAGGGAAACAACCCAGACCGCCAGCUAAGGUCCCAAAGUCAUGGUUAAGUGGGAAACGAUGUGGGAAGGCCCAGACAGCCAGGAUGUUGGCUUAGAAGCAGCCAUCAUUUAAAGAAAGCGUAAUAGCUCACUGGUCGAGUCGGCCUGCGCGGAAGAUGUAACGGGGCUAAACCAUGCACCGAAGCUGCGGCAGCGACGCUUAUGCGUUGUUGGGUAGGGGAGCGUUCUGUAAGCCGUUGAAGGUGGCCUGUGAGGGUUGCUGGAGGUAUCAGAAGUGCGAAUGCUGACAUAAGUAACGAUAAAGCGGGUGAAAAGCCCGCUCGCCGGAAGACCAAGGGUUCCUGUCCAACGUUAAUCGGGGCAGGGUGAGUCGACCCCUAAGGCGAGGCCGAAAGGCGUAGUCGAUGGGAAACAGGUUAAUAUUCCUGUACUUGGUGUUACUGCGAAGGGGGGACGGAGAAGGCUAUGUUAGCCGGGCGACGGUUGUCCCGGUUUAAGCAUGUAGGCGGAGGUUCCAGGUAAAUCCGGUACCUUUUAACGCUGAGGUGUGAUGACGAGGCACUACGGUGCUGAAGUAACAAAUGCCCUGCUUCCAGGAAAAGCCUCUAAGCAUCAGGUAACACGAAAUCGUACCCCAAACCGACACAGGUGGUCAGGUAGAGAAUACCAAGGCGCUUGAGAGAACUCGGGUGAAGGAACUAGGCAAAAUGGUGCCGUAACUUCGGGAGAAGGCACGCUGAUAUGUAGGUGAAGCCCCUGCGGGUGGAGCUGAAAUCAGUCGAAGAUACCAGCUGGCUGCAACUGUUUAUUAAAAACACAGCACUGUGCAAACACGAAAGUGGACGUAUACGGUGUGACGCCUGCCCGGUGCCGGAAGGUUAAUUGAUGGGGUUAGCGGUAACGCGAAGCUCUUGAUCGAAGCCCCGGUAAACGGCGGCCGUAACUAUAACGGUCCUAAGGUAGCGAAAUUCCUUGUCGGGUAAGUUCCGACCUGCACGAAUGGCGUAAUGAUGGCCAGGCUGUCUCCACCCGAGACUCAGUGAAAUUGAACUCGCUGUGAAGAUGCAGUGUACCCGCGGCAAGACGGAAAGACCCCGUGAACCUUUACUAUAGCUUGACACUGAACACUGGUCCUUGAUGUGUAGGAUAGGUGGGAGGCUUUGAAGCGUGGACGCCAGUCUGCGUGGAGCCAUCCUUGAAAUACCACCCUUUAAUGGCUGGUGUUCUAACGUAGACCCGUAAUCCGGGUUGCGGACAGUGUCUGGUGGGUAGUUUGACUGGGGCGGUCUCCUCCCAAAGAGUAACGGAGGAGCACGAAGGUUAGCUAAUCCUGGUCGGACAUCAGGAGGUUAGUGCAAUGGCAUAAGCUAGCUUGACUGCGAGAGUGACGGCUCGAGCAGGUGCGAAAGCAGGUCAUAGUGAUCCGGUGGUUCUGAAUGGAAGGGCCAUCGCUCAACGGAUAAAAGGUACUCCGGGGAUAACAGGCUGAUACCGCCCAAGAGUUCAUAUCGACGGCGGUGUUUGGCACCUCGAUGUCGGCUCAUCACAUCCUGGGGCUGAAGUAGGUCCCAAGGGUAUGGCUGUUCGCCAUUUAAAGUGGUACGCGAGCUGGGUUUAGAACGUCGUGAGACAGUUCGGUCCCUAUCUGCCGUGGGCGCUGGAGAAUUGAGGGGGGCUGCUCCUAGUACGAGAGGACCGGAGUGGACGCAUCACUGGUGUUCGGGUUGUCAUGCCAAUGGCACUGCCCGGUAGCUAAAUGCGGAAGAGAUAAGUGCUGAAAGCAUCUAAGCACGAAACUUGCCCCGAGAUGAGUUCUCCCUGAGACUUAAAGUCUCCUGAAGGAACGUUGAAGACGACGACGUUGAUAGGUCGGGUGUGUAAGCGCAGCGAUGCGUUGAGCUAACCGAUACUAAUGAACCGUGAGGCUUAACCU